GGAUGGGUCUCUUUCUGGAUGUUGUUCCUUUUGGUGUUUUUUUUUCUGAAAACCAAGGACAUGGACCUGGUAUCCUUUCUACCAUCAAGAAACAACAUGAUGUUUAGCACCAGACCAACAUACAGCUUCUCUACAGGAUUCAGAUUUCUUCACAAUAAGGUGAAAUCGUCGAUGGUAUAAAUCCUAGCUGAGAUAAAGGUGCUGCAUCCUUUCUGCCAUCAGAGGACAGAAUUCACUAGUUCCUGUUCAGAAAGGAACAUGCCUGAAAUGCAUUGCUGUUAUAUAGUAUCUAGAAAUUAGGAUGAGGACAUGUCUAGGUUUCUAAUUCCAUAGCACUUAGCAAUCAAUGAUAAGGUUCAGCUAUCUCCUUGUUCUUGUCUGCUGUAGGAAGCCCUAGGCUGAACACUAUUUCUACUAGUUUCUACUUCUGCUUCUACAGAAGCACUUGCUUCCGGGUGGCUUCUGAAGGUGAGUGACCUCACAACCAGCACAGAAGAUGCUACUGAAACCUUAAGGUUAAAUUAAUUUGUGCUAUGUUUGAAAAGUGCUAUGUACAAGCAGGGAAAGUUAAAAUGCUUUGAACCUAAUGGCUGAAAAUAUAUUAAAAAAAAAAGAGUCUCUUCUGUCAUACUGAUAAUUCCGAUUAUAAUUCUAAUAACUCAGAUAAUUGAAGAGAUAUCAAAAAUGUGCUUGGCGUUUUUUUCAAUAAAACAAUGGGUCUAAUCAUUAUUUUGGGGUUUUAUAUAGUCGUGUACAAUAGUAGAUAGGGAGGUUAAGGAGUGAAAUUCUUGUUUCUGAGUACGGGAUUGCAGAUAUCUUAUAGGAUUAACAUUUUAAAAGAUUGCACAAGUUUUAUAAUAUCAUGCCUCAAAAAAAGUAUUUUCAUUCCCUAUUACAUUUAGCAAAUAUUUUGGCCUGAUUAUAUUUACGAAUGUUUCAAUUGUAAUUUAGAAAUGUUGCAUCUCAUAUUCUUGCCCAUAGACAUAGUGUCAUACAUACUCACCUGUUGAGAAAUAUUAAAAUAUUCUCUUUUUAACUUUUAUAAUUGAAAUUGUUGCUUUUUACAGUAAGUUUCGGGUGUGUCUCAACUCUAAGUGUAAUUAUUACUUAAGCAUGCAUUUCUUUCGUGUUUUAUAAGGCAGUUUUGUUAGACAUCAAAAAUAAACUCCUGAUUUCC
rnacentral:lncRNA from 7 species